rnacentral:lncRNA from 1 species
ACCAUAACAUGAAGAUCGAUCUUUUGGCUUUCAGUAGAAUAUUGAAGACUUUCUUGACUGAUUUGCUGAAUUAUAUAGAAGUUUCUAAGUUCAAGAAAGGUAAACUUGUAGCCUACAGGUUGAAGGGUGGUGUCCUAGUUUAGUAGGAAAAGUUGCAACUAGGGCAAACUCGAUACUGUAGAAAUCAUGCAGAGACAUAACAAUGGAUGA